GCACCUAGAAAGUUACCCUCCUAGACACAAGUCCGGGCAAGGUAGUUUAUGGAAGACCAGCAGUCGCCCAUGUAUACCAGCCUCUCCUCUCCACACCACCGAUGUUACCCAAGGAAAAGGCAGAGGCCAAUACAGUUUGGUACCAGUGACGGUGCAACUCAUUUCAACAGCUGAGUGAACUGGAGCAA